rnacentral:rRNA from 1 species
CAGCAGCCGCGGUAAUACGAGGGGGGCAAGCGUUGUUCGGAAUUAUUGGGCGUAAAGGGCGCGUAGGCGGUUUGACAAGUCUGAUGUGAAAUCUCUGGGCUCAACCCAGAGUCUGCAUCGGAAACUGUCGAGCUUGAGUAUGGGAGAGGUGAGUGGAAUUUCCGGUGUAGCGGUGAAAUGCGUAGAUAUCGGAAGGAACACCUGUGGCGAAAGCGGCUCACUGGACCAUUACUGACGCUGAGGCGCGAAAGCUAGGGGAGCAAACAGGAUUAGAUACCCCCGUAGUCCCUGUCUCUUAUAC